UCCUCCAUUUGUACACAGACAGCGCUUUGGCACUGGCACUGUCUUGAACCGGCGUCAAACCCGGCGGAUGGCCGGACCCCGCCACCGCCCCCGGGCCCCGGCGUUCCCCGGGGCUAGGCAGCCCCCCCCCGCGGGGAAUUAAGAUUCAUGACAUGCAAACAGCGAGGGCACAUUAGCUCCUCUCUCCCCCUUCACACCGACAGUAGAUAAAACUCUGGAGAACCGGAAUAAAACAAACUGCUACUCCUCUCAGAAGGAAUAUGCAGCCAGGUCGCAAUUAAAUAUACAGAUACACGAGCUGUUAGCAAGACUUCACCCUCGCAGACGAAUCCGAAAGCAGCCGAGCCGGGGAAAUGAUGGCCCUGUCACUUAUCCCUUAGACUUAAAAUGC